rnacentral:rRNA from 1 species
AUGCAAGUCGAACGAACUUAACCAUUAGUUUACUAUUGGAGCGGUUAGUGGCGGACUGGUGAGUAACACGUAAGCAACCUGCCUAUCAGAGGGGAACAACAGUUAGAAAUGACUGCUAAUACCGCAUAUGCCUUAGAAUCACAUGGUUCAAAAGGGAAAGGAGCAAUCCGCUGAUAGAUGGGCUUGCGUCUGAUUAGCUAGUUGGUGGGGUAACGGCCUACCAAGGCGACGAUCAGUAGCCGAACUGAGAGGUUGAACGGCCACAUUGGGACUGAGAUACGGCCCAGACUCCUACGGGAGGCAGCAGUCGGGAAUAUUGCGCAAUGGAGGAAACUCUGAUGCAGUGACGCCGCGUGCAGGAAGAAGGUUUUCGGAUUGUAAACUGCUUUAGACAGGGAAGAACAAAGACAGUACCUGUAGAAUAAGCUCCGGCUAACUACGUGCCAGCAGCCGCGGUAAUACGUAGGGAGCGAGCGUUAUCCGGAUUUAUUGGGUGUAAAGGGUGCGUAGACGGGAAGUCAAGUUAGUUGUGAAAUCCCUCGGCUUAACUGAGGAACUGCAACUAAAACUGAUUU